AUUGAACGCUGGCGGCAGGCCUAACACAUGCAAGUCGAUCGGCGCUUCGGACGGGUGAGUAAUGCCUAUGAAUCUGCCCGGUAGUGGGGGAUAUCGUCCUGAAACGGGAGCUAAUACCACAUACUUUCAGAUCAGUCUAGGUCGGAUUAGCUAGGUGGUGGGGUAAAGGCUUACCAAGGCGACGAUCCGUAACUGGUCUGAGAGGAUGAUCAGUCACACUGGAACAGAGACACGGUCCAGACUCCUACGGGAGGCAGCAGUGGGGAAUAUUGGACAAUGGGCGAAAGCCUGAUCCAGCCAUGCCGCGUGUGUGAAGAAGGUCUUCGGAUUGUAAAGCACUUUCAGUUGGGAGGCGUUACCAACAGAAUAAGCACCGGCUAACUUCGUGCCAGCAGCCGCGGUAAUAC
rnacentral:rRNA from 1 species